rnacentral:rRNA from 1 species
GACGAACGCUGGCGGCGUGCUUAACACAUGCAAGUCGAACGGAAAGGCCCUGCUUUUGUGGGGUGCUCGAGUGGCGAACGGGUGAGUAACACGUGAGUAACCUGCCCUUGACUUUGGGAUAACUUCAGGAAAGUGGGGCUAAUACCGGAUAGGAGCUCCUGCUGCAUGGUGGGGGUUGGAAAGUUUCGGCGGUUGGGGAUGGACUCGCGGCUUAUCAGCUUGUUGGUGGGGUAGUGGCUUACCAAGGCUUUGACGGGUAGCCGGCCUGAGAGGGUGACCGGCCACAUUGGGACUGAGAUACGGCCCAGACUCCUACGGGAGGCAGCGGUGGGGAAUAUUGCACAAUGGGCGGAAGCCUGAUGCAGCAACGCCGCGUGCGGGAUGACGGCCUUCGGGUUGUAAACCGCUUUCGCCUGUGACGAAGCGUGAGUGACGGUAAUGGGUAAAGAAGCACCGGCUAACUACGUG